GCUCUCGUAGCUCAGUUGGUAGAGCGCGGCACUAGUACGGAUCUCAGAUCACGUGAUGCCGAGGUCUACGGUUCAAAUCCGUACGGGAGCA
rfam:Pseudogymnoascus pannorum VKM F-4516 (FW-969) contig_662, whole genome shotgun sequence.